rnacentral:tRNA from 1 species
GCCCUGGUGGUGAAAUCGGUAGACACAAGGGAUUUAAAAUCCCUCGACUUUCGAGNCGUGCCGGUUCAAGUCCGGCCCGGGGCACCA